GACGAACGCUGGCGGCGUGCUUAACACAUGCAAGUCGAACGGAAAGGCCCUGCUUUUGUGGGGUGCUCGAGUGGCGAACGGGUGAGUAACACGUGAGUAACCUGCCCUUGACUUUGGGAUAACUUCAGGAAACUGGGGCUAAUACCGGAUAGGAGCUCCUGCUGCAUGGUGGGGGUUGGAAAGUUUCGGUGGUUGGGGAUGGACUCGCGGCUUAUCAGCUUGUUGGUGGGGUAGUGGCUUACCAAGGCUUUGACGGGUAGCCGGCCUGAGAGGGUGACCGGCCACAUUGGGACUGAGAUACGGCCCAGACUCCUACGGGAGGCAGCAGUGGGGAAUAUUGCACAAUGGGCGGAAGCCUGAUGCAGCAACGCCGCGUGCGGGAUGACGGCUUUCGGGUUGUAAACCGCUUUCGCCUGUGACGAAGCGUGAGUGACGGUAAUGGGUAAAGAAGCACCGGCUAACUACGUG
rnacentral:rRNA from 1 species